GGGGGCGGGGAUGCUAUACUGCAAGUCGAACGAACUUCCGUUAAUUGAUUAUGACGUGCUUGCACUGAAUGAGAUUUUAACACGAAGUGAGUGGCGGACGGGUGAGUAACACGUGGGUAACCUGCCCAGAAGCAGGGGAUAACACCUGGAAACAGAUGCUAAUACCGUAUAACAGAGAAAACCGCCUGGUUUUCUUUUAAAAGAUGGCUCUGCUAUCACUUCUGGAUGGACCCGCGGCGCAUUAGCUAGUUGGUGAGGUAACGGCUCACCAAGGCGAUGAUGCGUAGCCGACCUGAGAGGGUAAUCGGCCACAUUGGGACUGAGACACGGCCCAGACUCCUACGGGAGGCAGCAGUAGGGAAUCUUCCACAAUGGACGCAAGUCUGAUGGAGCAACGCCGCGUGAGUGAAGAAGGGUUUCGGCUCGUAAAGCUCUGUUGUUAAAGAAGAACGUGGGUGAGAGUAACUGUUCACCCAGUGACGGUAUUUAACCAGAAAGCCACGGCUAACUACGUGCCAGCAGCCGCGGUAAUACGUAGGUGGCAAGCGUUAUCCGGAUUUAUUGGGCGUAAAGCGAGCGCAGGCGGUCUUUUAAGUCUAAUGUGAAAGCCUUCGGCUCAACCGAAGAAGUGCAUUGGAAACUGGGAGACUUGAGUGCAGAAGAGGACAGUGGAACUCCAUGUGUAGCGGUGAAAUGCGUAGAUAUAUGGAAGAACACCAGUGGCGAAGGCGGCUGUCUGGUCUGUAACUGACGCUGAGGCUCGAAAGCAUGGGUAGCGAACAGGAUUAGAUACCCUGGUAGUCCAUGCCGUAAACGAUGAUUACUAAGUGUUGGAGGGUUUCCGCCCUUCAGUGCUGCAGCUAACGCAUUAAGUAAUCCGCCUGGGGAGUACGACCGCAAGGUUGAAACUCAAAGAAUUGACGGGGGCCCGCACAAGCGGUGGAGCAUGUGGUUUAAUUCGAAGCUACGCGAAGAACCUUACCAGGUCUUGACAUCUUCUGCCAACCUAGAGAUUAGCGUCCUUCGGGACAGAUGACAGUGUGCAUGAUGUCGUCAGCUCGUGUCGUGAGAUGGUGGAUAGUCCCGCACGAGCGCACCGUAUACUAGUGGCAGCAUUCAGUUGGCACUCUUGGGAACUGCAGGACACGGAGUCAGUGGGAUUACGUCAAUCAUCAAUGC
rnacentral:rRNA from 1 species